rnacentral:pre_miRNA from 7 species
GUCUACUUGUCUGUCGCUAUACUGUAAGACCCCCUUUCAGGGACCCCCACUCUAGUCUCAGGAGUGAGACCACCCAAAGCAACACAAGAAUCC